GACUCGGAAAGGGAACUCCCUGACCCCUUGCGCUUCCCGAGUGAGGCAAUGCCUCGCCCUGCUUCGACUCGCGCAUGGUGCGCGCACGCACUGACCUGCGCCCACUGUCUGGCACUCCCUAGUGAGAUGAACCCGGUACCUCAGAUGGAAAUGCAGAAAUCACCAGUCUUCUGCGUCGCUCACGCUGGGAGCUGUAGACCGGAGCUGUUCCUAUUCGGCCAUCUUGUCUCCUCCCGUGAACUGGAAAUUCCCUGUCUCCCCUUAACCAGCACUGGAAGCAGAUGGGAAGAGAAUAGCUGUGACUGACUCACACUCUAACCCAGCAACCCUCAGCAUACAAGUGGGAGACCAUAAAGUUUUUCAAGACCCCAAAAGAGGCCAAAGGUCUGAUAAUUGCUGGGAGAAGGUCCACUAUCCAAGAAGAGAAGAGGAAAAGGAAUUAAAGUCUCCAAGCACUGGGGAUGCAAGAAGAGAGUUGCACAGGAGAGAAAGAAGAAGUUGUCCACGGGGUGACCCUGCAAUUGGAGGGAAAUGCAUGUGGAUAUGUGCAGGGAGUCUAGGAAGUGAAGCCUUAGUGAUCAUUUACAAGAAUGAGGGUUAGGUAAAAUAAGGGAUGCAAAGCCACCUGUAGUCUAUUCUAACCUCACUCCAUCACUCUAUACAAUCUGUGUUUUAUCAUCUGAAAUGUUAAGUAAAGACCUGUUUGGGUCUUCUUCAGAAUCCCAUACAUUUGAGUUCAUUAGUCAGAAAAAGGGAAAAUACCACCACCCCAUCCUGGAAUGGCAGUCAUGUACACUUUUAUAAUGAGAGAUUGGGCAGCAAAGGGGGCCCCUUGUGGACCUCACCCAGCCAGAGAAGGAGGCAGAAUGUUUCCUUUACUAUCUUUUCCUCUCCCCAGAGGAACACUACAUAUUGUUCCCUCCAUGGGCUUAAGAGAAGGUGCCAGGGUUACAGAUAGAUAUAUCGCUAGCUGUAGAGCACAGGGUGAAUUGGGAUGUCCAUGUACAAAGCUAGGGACAGGAGAAUCAGUUUAAAGACUUUAAAAAUAAUUAGGAAAAAAAGGAAGGCCUGACCCAAAGCUUAGGAGUGCAGGUAGAGAAGAGAUGGUGCCAUGAUAUACCAUGUCUCUGGGACUUUUCUGUAUUCCUCUUCCUCUGUAUACUGUAUUGCCCUCAUUCCCUAUUUAUUCAAAAUCUGUGCUACCUCCACUGCGAAGACUUCCACGAGAAAAUUCAGAUAUUUCUUCUUUUGUGGACACUUUCUACCUUACAAAUAAGUUAAUUUUAAUUCAAGGAAGAGUUUUUCCGGAACCCUGUUGGCCUGCUCACAGGAAUGUAAGUUCCUUAAAUCUAGGGCACAGUGUCUUUGAGAACUGCAAUCACCUACAUCAACAUGACAUAGCUAUUAGGACUAAGAACAGAGACCACCUGUGUCAACAUGAGUUACUAUUUUUUUCCGUGAAACAUUUGUCCAAGAAAGAUAAGACUGUAACCAAUAAAUAGUUUGCAAGUAA
rnacentral:lncRNA from 1 species